ensembl:lncRNA
ACAGCAGGCUUCCUAGAGGAGGUGUGCAUGCAGCCCAGUAGUCACUGCGGCCACCAAGGAGGGGCCUGGGGAAAGGGGGCUAGCUCACUCUGAACCUCAAAGCUUCUUUUACUUUUUUUUAAGUUUAGUUAUUUUGAGAUGGAGAGAGCACAAAGGGGGAGGGGCAGAGAGAGAGGGAGAGAGAGAAUCCCAAUCAGGCUUGACUAGGGGGCCCAUCUCAUCUCCGUGAGACCAUGACCUGAGCCGAAAUCAAGAGUCAGAGCUUUAGCCGCCGGAGCCACCGGGCGCCCCUGGAGGCUUCGGCCUGGGACCCCCACUCCAGAGCCGCAUGAGGGGGGCAGAGCGGGCAGGACAGCCAGCUCACUUCCAGAGUCCUGACUGUCCCCCGAGUCCGCACGUUCCCUUCACGGUUCCAGAGGAAGCAGCCCCAGGGCCUGGGGACCACACGGACACCCGCAGGCUCGGACCAGACCUCACCGCGGCUCUGGCGGCUGGAGGACCCACGGAGGCCGCAGGAGGCCUCAGACCCCGCAUGCCAAGGCCCCGUCACAAGGCACCUGUUGCCGCCCUUGGCCCGGGUCACUGUGUCCCUCCACCAGGAGGGCAGCUGAGCCAGGCCACCCUCUCCACGCUUCCGGGACCCACAGCUGCCAGGAACCCAUCUGAGCUGUGCCAAGGCGCCUGGUCCUGCUCCACACUCUGGAGGAGUCACAGCCAAGGCAGGGGACCCGGAUGCAGGAAAAAAGUGAACGGGUGAUGCCCGGUGCUGACAAGGGUGUGGCGAAGCCGAGGAUGGACGGUGAGGGAAGAACGGGUGUGGAGGCCGGCGGGCAGGCUCUGCCCAACAACCGCGGCAUCCCUGGGCCCGUUAUCACUGCUGCCAGCACCUGCACCCCCAGGCCGUGGGAGGGCCUCCUGACAUCCCAGCUGGGAAUCUACACUUAAGAAAUAGCUUCAUGGCAGGGGCACCUGGGUGGCUCAGUCGGUUAAGCCUCCGACUUUGGCUCAGGUCAGAUCUCACAUUCGUGGGUUCGAGCCCCGCGUCAGGUUCUGUGCUGACAGCUAGCUCAGAGCCUGGAGCCUGCUUCUGGUUCUGUGUCUCCUUCUCUCUCUGCCCCGCCCCCUCUCAUGCUCUGUCUCUCUCUGUAUCAAAAAUAAAUAAAACAUUAAAAAAAUUUAAAAAAAAAGAAAUAGCUUCAAGGCAGGGGUGCCUGGGUGGCUCAGUCGGUUGGGCGUUUGACUCUUGGUUUCAACUCAGGCCAUGAUCCCAGAGUCGGGAGAUCGAGCCCUGUGUCAGGCUCUGCACUGAGCAUGGAGCCUGCUUGGGAUUCUCUCUCUCCUUCUCCUUCUGACCUUCUCCCCUGCUCACGCUCACUCUCUUUCUUUCUCUCUCUCUCAAAUAAAAAAAAAAAACGAAUAUAUAGGAGCACCCAGGUGGCUCAAUUGGUUAAGCGUCCGGCUCUUGAUCUUGGCUCAGGUCAUGAUCUCAUGGUUCUUGGGUUCAAGGCCUGCAUCAGGCUCUGCGCUGACAGUGUGGAGCCUGCUUGGGAUUCUCUCCCUCCCUCUCCCUUUCUCUCUUUCCCUCUCUUUCUGCCCCCCCCCACUCAUGUGUGCUCUCCCUAGUAAAAAAAUAAAUACAUAAAAUAAUUUAAAAAUAAAAUAAUUUUUAAAAAAAGAAA